UACGAAGGGGGCUAGCGUUGCUCGGAAUCACUGGGCGUAAAGGGUGCGUAGGCGGGUCUUUAAGUCAGGGGUGAAAUCCUGGAGCUCAACUCCAGAACUGCCUUUGAUACUGAGGAUCUUGAGUUCGGGAGAGGUGAGUGGAACUGCGAGUGUAGAGGUGAAAUUCGUAGAUAUUCGCAAGAACACCAGUGGCGAAGGCGGCUCCCUGGUCCGAUACUGACGCUCAUGUGCGAAAGCGUGGGGAGCAAACAGG
rnacentral:rRNA from 1 species